AAAACUCCCGCGGCAUGAGUUUCGCCGCCAUUUUGCAUCAGACCUAUUGAAAAGAGUGAGAUAGCAGACACACGGCGGGGUUUGGCCACUUUAUCCUCUUUCAGUACAUUUCCCUCUGGAUUUAUCCCAACAUAAUCCAAGAUAUUAACUGACAGGUCCCGGAGACAUGGCCACGGAGCAUAUAAAUGGAAAUGGUUCGGAUGAACCAGUGGAGUCUUCAGCGGCAGUUACCCAUUCAGAGCACUUCCAGACGCUACUAGACGCCGGCUUACCUAGAAAAGUUGCAGUCAAACUAGAUGAGAUUUACAUAGCAGGACUCGUGUCUCACAGCGAUCUCGAUGAUCGAGCGAUUGAAGCUCUGAAAGAGUUCAAUGAAGAGGGCGCGCUGCAAGUUCUCCUGCAGUUCAAAGACAGCGACCUGUCGCAUGUUCAGAAUAAAAGUGCCUUCCUCUGUGGAGUGAUGAAGACGUACAGGCAGAGGGAGAAACAGGGGACCAAAGUGUCAGACUCCACUAAAGGACCAGAUGAGGCCAAAAUCAAAGCUUUGCUCGAGAGAACUGGCUAUACACUUGAUGUGACGACAGGCCAGCGCAAGUAUGGCGGUCCUCCUCCAGGGUCGACCCAUGCUGGAGUUCAGCCCACCGUCGGCACAGAGAUUUUUGUGGGAAAGAUCCCGAGAGAUCUCUUUGAAGAUGAGCUCGUCCCUCUGUUCGAGAAAGCCGGCCCUAUAUGGGAUCUGCGUCUGAUGAUGGAUCCGCUCAGCGGGCUGAACCGAGGAUACGCCUUCAUCACCUUCUGCACUAAAGAGGCUGCUCUGCAAGCCGUCAAGCUCUGUAACAACAAUGAAAUUCGGCCCGGGAAACACCUCGGUGUGUGCAUCUCUGUUGCCAACAAUCGUCUGUUUGUGGGCUCCAUCCCCAAGAGCAAAACUAAGGAGCAGAUCGUGGAGGAGUUCGCCAAAGUUACGGAGGGCUUGAAUGACGUCAUCUUAUACCAUCAGCCUGACGACAAGAAGAAGAAUCGCGGCUUCUGCUUCCUAGAGUACGAGGAUCAUAAAACAGCAGCCCAGGCGCGGCGUAGAUUAAUGAGCGGCAAAGUGAAGGUGUGGGGGAAUGUGGUGACGGUAGAAUGGGCUGAUCCCAUUGAAGACCCCGACCCUGAAGUCAUGGCAAAGGUCAAAGUCCUCUUUGUAAGAAACCUGGCGAGCACAGUAACGGAAGAGCUUCUCGAGAAGACGUUCUGUCAGUUUGGCAAGCUGGAAAGAGUUAAAAAGCUUAAAGACUACGCCUUCAUCCACUUCGAAGAGAGAGAUAGCGCCGUUAAGGCUCUAGCUGAAAUGCAUGGAAAGGAUUUGGAAGGAGAACAAAUUGAAAUCGUCUUUGCAAAGCCGCCUGACCAGAAGAGGAAAGAGCGAAAGGCCCAGAGACAAGCUGCUAAAACUCAAAUGUAUGAUGAGUAUUAUUACUACGGGCCGCCGCAUAUGCAUCCCCCGACGAGAGCAAGAGGACGAGGCGCUAGAGGUUAUUCGUAUCCCCACGACUAUUACAGCUAUGAAGAUUAUUACGAUUACUACGGCUAUGACUAUCACAACUACAGAGGCGGUUACGACGACCCCUACUACGGCUACGAUGACUUUCAAGCUCACGUCAGAGGAAGAGGCAACAGAGGAGUCCGGGGCCCCACGCUGUCCAGGGGCCGCGGCUCCACCGCUCCCAGAGGACGGGCCGGUUUCUCUCAGCGCGGGGGUCCGGGGCCCAGCCGAGGUGGCCGAGGGUCCAGAGCAGGCCUCCAGCAGAGAUGUCGAGUGGUACGUGAUGUGUGGGUGGAGCAAUCCUGGAGUGUUGGCAGGAGGUUUUGAAGCACUCUAGGCUAGAUGUGCACUCAUUUUAUUAAGUCAAAUUCGACAAAGGACAUGGUGAUCAAAAUACAUGUUUUGGCGUUUGUUUUUUCCUUCCCCUCCUUUUCAUAUUGCUUACAUUUGCAAGGCACCUUGUGGACGAAACGGACCAAAGGGAAAGGGGGUCGAGGCUGGUCCUGACCAGGUAGUAUGAAGACUGACUUGUUGUAUGGGGUUACACCGGAUGCUACCAGUGUCCAUAAGGUUAAAGCAAGCUCCAAUGUCCAAUGGUAUUCCAGCCUGUAUUGAAGCAAAUCUCCUACACUGCCAUCCCCGACAAACCAUAAGAUUUCUCAAGUCGAAACCCCGGACACAGUUUUUCCCCAUUCGGAGCCCGUCUAAAUAAACCCCCAGUUAUAUAGUCCACGUCUAAACGCGCCACAUUAUGGAACUGAAGUUCAGACUCUCAAGG